ACACCUCCUCCAGCAGCUGCCAGACCGAGUCGAGGUGAAGAUGGAAAACACAAGUGUGGUGUUGUCUAUGAACAGUCAGAAACGGCACUUGACUUGGACACUGAAGCUGCUGCAUUUCCUGUAUCACCGUGAUGAGGAUCAACUGCCCCUUCGAAGCUUCACAGCAAACUAUGAUAUGGCACAGAUGAGCACUGAACUCCUGUUAGGUUUAGGGGGAUAAGCUUCCCAAUCUGUGUGCUCACUUGGGAGGAUGGCAUUAGGAGCCAGGGCUGGCCAUGGGUACCUUACUUUCCUCCCUGGGGUAUGCCCAGGAGAAUGGAGAAAAAAAAAAGAUUUAAAGAAAAAAUAUUUUAAAUUUG
rnacentral:lncRNA from 1 species